rnacentral:lncRNA from 1 species
GGAAUCUCUGGGAGGAGUCACAAGGGGGUAUAGCACCAUUCAGAAUUCUAGACCUUCCCACAGAAGAGUCAUGGUGGCCCUGGUGACCAUUUCACUGGGAGACUCAGGAAACAAGAUUUUCCCUUGCUGCCUGGCUGUGGGAGCAGAUGCUUUGAAGAUUGGCGGAGUCCCAGGGCACAGGGGCGCCUGAAUCAGAGAGUAGCCACCGAUUUGCGCAUGCUCACUGACUGUUCUGCAACCAUGAAUGGAGGAUCUCAUCCAAUCUCCUAUUAGCCUUCUCUGAAACAAGAUUCCCAGAAUGCCUGACACCAAGACCUAGCCACUUAUCACAAAGCGUGGAGAGCACAUUCGAGUGUGGACAUAUGCCUAUUCAUUUUUAAGGGGUUGUCACAGAGGGGGCUUUGCAUGGGUUCCCAGACCACCGGUUGGAGAAGGGCAUCCCAGAUCCUGGUUAGUUUGCUGUGGUAAGCCCAGCUGGAGCUCCGACUUAAUGUCCAGAUCACAGAUGCCAGCCUCGGAAGAGCCGAAGACUCAACAAUGUUUUGCCUUCGCGGGCAAGCUGAGGUCUAAGGUCCUUUGGUUCUGGUGCUGCCUUGUUUUAGAAGUGAGUUUUGUUUCCCUUUCUUCCCUUUAAUUCUCUUUUGCAUAGGAAUGCGGUGUUUAAAUCCUGUCAUGGUAGGAGUGGGUAGUUCCUUAACUUGUUAUCUCAUCCACAUAGAGAUGGUACUGAAUCUGACCCCAGCGACUGUAAGAGGCCUCAUGCCACCUGUCUGGCGCUUUUCCGACUCACUCUAGGGGUGGAGCGAAGUGUAUGAGGCUGCAUUAUCUCUGUCCCUGUGUUGCCUGUACGUGUGUCCUCAGCGCGGGGAUUCCGGAGGCCGCCAGGGGGCGCUGUGGUCACGCGGCCAUCUGCUAGCCUCCCCAGCCUGCUGAGCCUAGCCUUCCUGCUGCACCCUUUGGAGCUCAGACUAUGCAGCCGCAGAUUGGGCUCUGUGCACACGCACAAUACAGCCUUGUCCGCCAAUGCGUGCCAACACAGGUGGGAACUCUGACGAGAUUCGUUACUCGCUUGGUCUCUGUGUGUCUGGAAAGUGGCUCUGUGGCUCUGCCCACUGCCCCGUG